AAAUAAACGAAUGCGAGCUGAAUGAGAGGAUUGUGGAUGGAGGGAUGGAUGAGACCUACAGGUAGAUCCCUCAAGAACUGCUUCAGUAAACUGGCUACUGCAAAGGCGUCUGCAUCCUGAUGUAAAUCCACCUCUUCUCCAGCAUCAAACCUCUGCCGCAGGUUAUCCACAGUCCGAACGCUGCCGUUUACUCUAAACAGACCCUCCAGACGAAGUCCUGACAGAUUGUGGCACCAUGAGAGGGACAUAAAGCUCUAUCAGAUUUCUUCACACCAACCAUGAUCAGGUCAUCACUUACCAUGCUUUUCCAGAUACUCCACCAUACACCGGACCACCACAGGAACCCCAUCCUUGACGAGUCCCAGAUUUCUCAACUCCAG